CUUGGUCAUUUAGAGGAAGUAAAAGUCGUAACAAGGUUUCCGUAGGUGAACCUGCGGAAGGAUUAUUCAUAAUAAGUGUUUUACUGCACUUUUUAAAAAUCAGUAUUCACCUUGUGUGCAAUGUUUGCUGACGAGUUCGCGUUUUUUACGCGUUCUUGGCAGCAUAAUACCAACCCUUUAUUGAAAUUUUUUGUCUGAAGAUUUUUGAAUACAUAAUUCGAAAUACAACUUUUAACAACGGAUCUCUUGGCUCUCGCAUCGAUGAAGAACGCAGCGAAAUGCGAUACGUAAUGUGAAUUGCAGAAUUCAGUGAAUCAUCGAAUCUUUGAACGCACAUUGCGCUCUCUGGUAUUCCGGAGAGCAUGCUUGUUUGAGUAUCAGUAAAACACCCUCAGUUCUCUUUUUGAGAACUGGACUUGAGUCAUCCCAACGGCAGUUUCAAAACUGCUGGCGGGUCGCUUGAAAUGCAGGUGCGGCUGGACACAUCUUCUGAGCUAUAAGCAUUACUUAUUUAAUCCCGUCAGACGGAUUAUUUCUACUGCUACAGCUAUAUAAGGUCGAUUGUCCGUUUGCCCGACUGAUGCAGAAAAAACAGAGAGAAAUCUUUGUUCACUCGAUCUCAAAUCAAGUAAGACUACCCGCUGAACUUAAGCAUAUCAAUAAGCGGAGGA
rnacentral:rRNA from 1 species